rnacentral:rRNA from 1 species
GUGAAGUGACUUGCUCAUGGAGCUGAAAUCAGUCGAAGAUACCAGCUGGCUGCAACUGUUUAUUAAAAACACAGCACUGUGCAAACACGAAAGUGGACGUAUACGGUGUGACGCCUGCCCGGUGCCGGAAGGUUAAUUGAUGGGGUUAUCCUCGCGGAGAAGCUCUUGAUCGAAGCCCCGGUAAACGGCGGCCGUAACUAUAACGGUCCUAAGGUAGCGAAAUUCCUUGUCGGGUAAGUUCCGACCUGCACGAAUGGCGUAAUGAUGGCCAGGCUGUCUCCACCCGAGACUCAGUGAAAUUGAACUCGCUGUGAAGAUGCAGUGUACCCGCGGCAAGACGGAAAGACCCCGUGAACCUUUACUAUAGCUUGACACUGAACACUGGUCCUUGAUGUGUAGGAUAGGUGGGAGGCUUUGAAGUGUGGACGCCAGUCUGCAUGGAGCCAUCCUUGAAAUACCACCCUUUAAUGGCUGGUGUUCUAACGUGGGCCCGUGAUCCGGGUUGCGGACAGUGUCUGGUGGGUAGUUUGACUGGGGCGGUCUCCUCCUAAAGAGUAACGGAGGAGCACGAAGGUCAGCUAAUCCUGGUCGGACAUCAGGAGGUUAGUGCAAUGGCAUAAGCUGGCUUGACUGCGAGCGUGACGGCGCGAGCAGGUGCGAAAGCAGGUCAUAGUGAUCCGGUGGUUCUGAAUGGAAGGGCCAUCGCUCAACGGAUAAAAGGUACUCCGGGGAUAACAGGCUGAUACCGCCCAAGAGUUCAUAUCGACGGCGGUGUUUGGCACCUCGAUGUCGGCUCAUCACAUCCUGGGGCUGAAGUAGGUCCCAAGGGUAUGGCUGUUCGCCAUUUAAAGUGGUACGCGAGCUGGGUUUAGAACGUCGUGAGACAGUUCGGUCCCUAUCUGCCGUGGGCGCUGGAGAAUUGAGGGGGGCUGCUCCUAGUACGAGAGGACCGGAGUGGACGCAUCACUGGUGUUCGGGUUGUCAUGCCAAUGGCAUUGCCCGGUAGCUAAAUGCGGAAGAGAUAAGUGCUGAAAGCAUCUAAGCACGAAACUUGCCCCGAGAUGAGUUCUCCCUGACUCCUUGAGAGUCCUGAAGGAACGUUGAAGACGACGACGUUGAUAGGCCGGGUGUGUAAGCGCAGCGAUGCGUUGAGCUAACCGGUACUAAUGAACCGUGAGGCUUAACCCUUCAACGCCGAAG